UACGUAGGGCGCAAGCGUGUCCGGAUUUAUUGGGCGUAAAGAGCUCGUAGGCGGUUCGGUAAGUCGGGUGUGAAAACUCUGGGCUCAACCCAGAGCCGCCACCCGAUACUGCUGUGACUCGAGUGCGGUAGGGGAGCGGGGAAUUCCUGGUGUAGCGGUGAAAUGCGCAGAUAUCAGGAGGAACACCAGGUGGCGAAGGCGCCGCUCUGGGCCGUGACUGACGCUGAGGAGCGAAAGCGUGGGUAGCAAACAGG
rnacentral:rRNA from 1 species